rnacentral:rRNA from 1 species
UACAGAGGGUGCGAGCGUUGUCCGGAAUCACUGGGCGUAAAGGGCGCGUAGGUGGCGCGGCAAGUCAACGGUGAAAGCUCGACGCUCAACGUCGAGUCGGCCGUCGAUACUGCCGCGCUGGAGCACUGUAGAGGCUCAUGGAAUUCCGGGUGUAGCGGUGGAAUGCGUAGAGAUCCGGAAGAACACCGGUGGCGAAGGCGGUGAGCUGGGCAGUUGCUGACACUGAGGCGCGACAGCGUGGGGAGCAAACAGG